CCUUUGUGCCUUAGCACAAGGCACAAAGUAUAGCCCACCUACCUACCCUCAGGAUGUGCUCAGAGCUCUAUACAGCGGGAAGUAAUGCUUUUGGUAUAAUUUCGUUUAAAAAUGUUCAUGAAAUAAGGCACAGUUUGUUUGGAAGUCAAACUUUAUAGUCUACAUUUGGAAAAAAAAAAAACAGAAAAAAAGAAUGUUUAAUACCGUUGAGAAUUUUGAGAGAGGGCUCCAGAUAGAAAAACAAGCACCAUUUCAGCAAUGUCAAACAAAGGGCCAAGUCUAGUAAUUCUCAAAUUAUAGUGAGCAGACACUUCACAAGGCAAGCUUGUUAAAAAUGCAGAUUUCUGGGCUCAUCGCUCGUAAUCUAACUCGUCAUCUAUAGUGUAGGCCCUAAAUCCGGAACCUACAACAAGGAUUCCCCCAGGAAUCUGCUGUAGGUGGUUCGUGGACCAAAAUUUGAGAAACUGGCAUCGGCACUAUUUUGCCAGAAAUCACUAGGGUUGCUUGAAUCUGGAAACUUCUCUGGAGUUUCCUUGUUAGUUGUCACAGGAUCUUGGGGUUAAGGCUGAGAACACUUUUUCCCAUCAAACAGGGCACCAAGCCCAGAAGAUGUGCUGGAGUGACCCACUUUGGAGUGGUUUUUACGGAGCCCAGUGUGUCAGGCAAACGUUUGCAAUGGAAGGGCUUUCUAACCUUGUCUGGCUGGCUGGCUAUUUCCUGGGCUCACCUAAAAUUCAUGCAACCCCCUCAGAAAACAAGGUUGUCAGGCUGAAAGGCUAUACAGACCCUGGCAAAGGACUUCAAAAUUUUAAACAGCAGUUAGAGAAAAUGAGAAAACUGGUCGGCUUGAUGUUUGGUCCAAGGAAUAGGAAAUGGCUACUCAAAAUUCGGAAGCACAUUUUUGGGGUCUUUUUGUUCCUCUCUGCACCUUAACUUUUUGUGCCCUAACAUGCUGCUCUUUCAUCUGAGGCCUGUCUCCUACUCUAGAGUGUGAUCAAAGCGCCAGCACUCCAAUCUUUGACCCUAAUAAGUAGCCAACGCCCUCACAGACGCUGGGCCGGAUUUCGCGUUCAGGCUGCGGCGUGAGGCUUUCAAGCGCUCGCACGAAUUUUACUGCGAGCUCGAAAAGGGGGCGCCGCCUUCGCGGCCCAACUGUCCUCCCCAUCCCCAACUAUUGCCCCUUCCGGCCACCGGCUGCAGCCUUGCUCGGCUCUUAGGCUCUCGGGUCAACGGUCGCGGGCAGAGAAGCCCACGGAGACCUCGCGUAGAGCAGCCCCGCGUCCCCGGAAGCUCAGGCUCUCGGGCGCCGGGCUGCGGCGUUCUGGGAGGUCGCUCUGAGCGCUCCGCGGCCCGGCCCACCGCAUCACUCACGACCGGUCCCCGCCGGGCCGCCCCGGUCCCUGGAAGACAGAGGGAAUGGAGAAUAUUCUACAAUGGAGAUUUCGUAGAAAGGGUACUCUCCAAGGCAGCAAUUACCAGCCACGACCUUUUGGGUUUUGAGGCUGCUUCCUAGGAAUGUCCGUUCCUUGGCUACAUCAUCAGAGAAUCAGAGAGUUGAGGAUUGCCACCAGCACCACGAGGCCUAUGGGUACUUCUUGCUCAUCCAGACGAGGUGGCAGACAAUGACCAGUACGGCCGUGGGAACAAUGCUGUGUACUACAGCUACUUAGGCACGAUUAUCAACCCGUACCCGAUGAGCAGGCCCAGGAACGAUUGCCGCAUUCCUGACGAGGAAUUUCAGGCAAGGGCCUGAAAGAUCUAAUAGUCACUUUUCAAAGAUGCUUUCUUUGAACUCUCUCACUCAGAGAGCGACUACAACGAAGACAAAAAGCACAGCAGUUGUGAUAUCAUUAAUGUGUCCCUCUAAUCCGCUCUAUCAGGGCUGUCGCUCAUGGUUGACUCUACUUCUGGAUGUCCAAAAAAAUCAGAUCAUCAUCUACCACAUUUACCCUUUAAGAUGGUGUUUUCCUGUGAAUUGAGCAUCAUGUCAUGGUCUUCUUAUUUUUAUUCAAAAUGUUUUAAUGAAUUUGUUUCAUAUCCUUCAUUUCUGGGUCUUGAGUUCUUCAUCAGACCCUUUAAUAUUCAGUCUCUGAGCACGGAUUUAUAGAUUUUUGCUUGUUAUAUAUUGUGCCUCUUAAGAUAUGUUGGACUUUCUUGUCAUCUUGACACUGAUUUACCAGAAUGAACUUCCUGGGAGAACAGUGUUAUGAAGAAAUUGUUCCACUCUGACAGCAGGUGAUUUUCACUAGUUUUGCUGAGUUUAGAGACUCAAUGCGGGCACUUUGAAAAUUGCAGUAGCCAUGAUCUGCAGGCAACUGGGUCUGGGCAUUUUCCUAAUGUGACCUAUUACCAGCUCAUAAUAUUAGCUUCUUAUGUUUGGAGAUAGGCAACCGAGUUUAUAUAUAGAUUUCAUUUUUUAAAAAAAUAUUGCCAAGUGGCAAGUAAACAUAGCAUGAAGUAAA